AGCUUUGCGUGGCCAACAGCCGAUGCUUGCAAAAUGCCAAGCCAGCCACCAGCUUCCCUUCCAAAAAACACACAGUAGCUCUGGUGCCGGCCCUGCUCCUCCGGGAGGAAGUCCCUGGAAUCGAGCCGCAGGGUGAGUCCGCUCUGGUGAAGGAGUGGAUCGAGGAGAACGGCCUGCGCUGUUCUUCAAUCACGUUCUGGUGAAGGAGUUGAUCGCCGGAGAACGACCUGCUCAAUCUUGAACAACAGAUUGCUUUCAACUUGAUCAACGUCUGCCCUUUUAUUCGUGGAAGAAGCAGCCCCUGAGGAAGACCUGCUCUCCUUUUCAAUCUGGUGAAGUUUCCCUUUCUCAUGCCAUGUUCCCAUGAAUAGCUCCCUAGAACUGACAGAAUUUUGAUUAGAAGACUGCUUUCAACUUAAUCAAGCUUUCCCUUUUAUAAGAAGAAGAAGAAUCAGCCGGGGUUGUAUUUUGUCAAUUGAGAUGGUAGAAGAGGCUAACACAUCGUACCAUAUGGUACCAUGCCAACAUGAGAUUGGGAUGACUGAGUUGUCAUUGUGAUGCAACGGAGGGUUAAGACAAGUGACGAUGAGGAAAGACGGAUGCUUGAUAUAGAUGCUACAGCUGUUGUGGCGGUGGUAGAAGCUUGGGAUUUGGAUGGUAGAAUUAUGUUAUGUUUAUAAGGCCAGUUUAAUAAAAUAGAGAAUGCACUUGGAGAGAUGGCUUGUGUUGAUCCUCACCAAAUAACUUACCAUUUUGUUCUGUAGUAUGGACUGAACUGGGAGAAGGAAGCAAUUAAUAAUUUAAUUGAGAAGGCAUAUGUGAAGCUGAAGUAUAUGAGCUAAUGUUUAGGUACAUUAUUUCUUCAACCAUUCAAACAUCAAACUGUAUAUCAGUGUUGUAAAUCAAGUGGAAUAUAUGUGUUGCCAUAUCUAUUCUAUUCUGAGUUCAA